rnacentral:lncRNA from 1 species
UUACUAACAAUAAACAAUUAUAUAUUCCUGUAAACAAUUAAAUUUAUUGUAUUGGUUACUGUCAGUCUCCAUUGUCUAACAACUGAAUAAACAUUGUAAAGUAACCAAAUUAAUAUUAGACAGUAACCAAAUUACAUAAUCUUAGUAACCAGAAUAUAAACCACAUUUUUACAUGCAAUUUUGAAGGCCUAAAUGAUGGAAUUUGG